GUGGGGAAUAUUGGACAAUGGGCGAAAGCCUGAUCCAACCAUGCCGCGUGUGUGAAGAAGGUCUUCGGAUUGUAAAGCACUUUAAGUUGGGAGGAAGGGCAGUAAGUUAAUACCUUGCUGUUUUGACGUUACCGACAGAAUAAGCACCGCCUAACUUCGUGCCAGCAGCCGCGGUAAUACGAAGGGUGCAAGCGUUAAUCGGAAUUACUGGGCGUAAAGCGCGCGUAGGUGGUUCAGCAAGUUGGAGGUGAAAUCCCCGGGCUCAACCUGGGAACUGCCUCCAAAACUACUGAGCUAGAGUACGGUAGAGGGUAGUGGAAUUUCCUGUGUAGCGGUGAAAUGCGUAGAUAUAGGAAGGAACACCAGUGGCGAAGGCGACUACCUGGACUGAUACUGACGCUGAGGUACGAAAGCAUGGGGAGCAAACAGGAUUAGAAACCCGUGUAGUCC
rnacentral:rRNA from 1 species